CGCCGCUCCCGCCCCGCCCCGCCCCGGCGCGCCGCGUAUUUAGCGGGAUCCCGGCGGGAAUCGGCCUUUCCCUUUCCAGCGGGGACGCAACUGGAGCGGCCGCGCCUGCCCGCCUCUGUUCGGGGCAAAAAGUGAAGGUCAAGAUGAGUUUGCUGCUGGCUUUGGGAAUCCUCAGUCUGGACUCUGCCAUGCCUUGCAAGCAGAAAGAUGCCACGUGAAUUCUGGGGCUACAGAAGUUCUGUGACAUCAGAUGAUCACCUCCACUGUCUUCCAGCCUUGUGCCAGCAGGAGAGCCCAUCCACUUGUGGAAGUGUGGGUGUUUAAGGAGCUUGAAAGCAGCAGCCUGGAAGGUGGAGUUCUAAUGCACUUGGAAAUGCUUCCAUUGCCCUUCCUGCUCGUCAGAAAUCCUGCUUGGUUCCACAGUACGGCAGGGAGUAGCUGUUCGCUGAAAAUUAAUAAUCCUGGAAUGAAGUUUGGGGCAGAGUGUCACUCUAGAAAGAGAAGCGGCCUUCUGGGCAGUCUGAAGACUUAGUAUCAAUUUUUGAGUGUAUCAAAUAAAUGGAUCAAAAGUGAAUAAGGCAAAGAUUAAAAUGUGGGAAAACUUGGUGCUGUCUAAAUGAGUGUUUACAGUGUUAGUAGUAGGUAUGAAAUAAAAUCUUGGAUUUCUGUUUUCAGUAGCUUAUUUUUUAGUUGAGGCUAUGGGAGCAGUAGCACUCUGAUCCUGCUGGAUGACAUCCUGGGCAUGAGUAGCACAAGCCUUAAUUAUUCAGUUUGUCCAGAUUUGACAGAAGUCUGGACAAUUUUACUGCAGCUUUUUAUUUAAGGUGUAUGUCUUGGAUGCAAGGCUUGCUGAGGAUUAUGCCUAGUGCUGUAUCCUUACUAGGAAGAUGAAACACAGGAAAGCCUGUAGCUGGGGAACCAUAGGGUGCUCCAAAAACUCAUCUCCUACCACAUGUUCUUAAUUUGUUUUUACAGUGAGGUAUACAGAGCUGAACUCACUGAGCUACCUGCUUACCAGGUUGUCUAAUAUUCUUUUACCUAACUGCAGCACUCUGCUAUCCCCUGCAGUCUAUAUAACAUAAUGUGGAAACACUGGGUUUUGCAGGUUGGGGUGGUUUGGUGGGUUUCUUUUGUGGUUUGUUUUGUAGACUUUUUUGUUUUGUUUGGGUUUUGGCUGCAGGAGCAUCUGGCAUCCUUGUCUAAUCUAGUGUUGCUGUAGUGUAAAAAAAAGACAGAACAUGAAGCAGUAUGAUCAUACUUUUAUACAUUUCAAAACCUAUACAACAUGAGUAAGUAAACUUGACUUAGCAUACACCAUGACUUAAACUAUGAAAAGAAGAUUUUUAAUGUUUUAAAAACUCCUUAACCCUUUGGGUGGGUGAUACAUUUGAAAGGAAGCAACAAGAAAAACUGCUGAAAUGAAACAUUCAAUUCUGA